rnacentral:rRNA from 1 species
UACGGAGGGUGCGAGCGUUUGUCCGGAAUCACUGGGCGUAAAGGGCGCGUAGGCGGCCUGGUAAGUAGGGGGUGAAAUCCUGCGGCUUAACCGCAGGGCUGCCUUCUAAACUGUCAGGCUCGAGCACGGUAGAGGCAGAUGGAAUUCCCGGUGUAGCGGUGGAAUGCGUAGAGAUCGGGAAGAACAUCAGUGGCGAAGGCGGUCUGCUGGGCCGUUGCUGACGCUGAGGCGCGACAGCGUGGGGAGCAAACAGG